UCUAUUCCUUUUUGUUUGAUUGUUUAGAAAAAACACAUAUAUUAA
rnacentral:sRNA from 1 species